rnacentral:lncRNA from 1 species
CUUGUUCUUGAGUUAUUGUUCUUGUCUUUUAUAUUAUUUCAUAACACUUUUAUAAUAUAAGAAAUUAACCGAUGACCAUGAAGAAAAGACUAUUGAAGAAAUAUGGCGAGUCUCUUAAAAUGGAAAGUUGCGGCAUUUCUCAAUGAGUUAAUUACGUCUAUUUUUCUUUGCGAAAUUCAACCGCUACUGAACAAAGACCAUGAAACUAACAAAACAAAUCAUGGCCAUCAAAACUAUUCAACAUCUUCUAACUCCAUAUAAGUGCAAAACACUAAAGAUGAAAUUUCAACGGAAAGCAUAUGGGUCUUGUGCAAAUAAGGAUGCUGCCAUUUUAAACAUUUGUACGAAAGAACACAAACUUCUAAGAACAUACUAAAGGAAAUAUGAGACAAAAUCAUGAAUCAAGGUUUCGUUCAUUCAAUAUCCAACACUAGCUUUCUGCUACAUAGUUAGAGGAAUACCUUGAUAGCAGAUAAAUACAAGGAAAGGAUAGCAAUGAAGAAACUGAAAACUCAACAACAACGAUAUCCAGAAAAAGCCCCGAACCAACAACAAAUCGGUAUUACAACCAGCCUAGAAAAUCUCAGCAAGACCAUUUGAAAGCAAGACCUAAAAAACUCAGAAAUUAUCUGCCAGACCUUUCUAUUUUUUUUUUCAAGUUUUGUUUCUCCUUAGUGUAAAUAUGAUAUCCAAGUGUGUUAGAGUGUGUCCAUUUAUAGGAGAAGAACCAAGGCCUUCAUCAUUGAAAAUAUGUCCAAAGGAUAGAUUUUUCACCAAAAAUCUAUCUGAUACUAUUCAAAGGAC